ACUCAAAUGAAUAGACGGGGACCCGCACAAGCAGCGGAGCGUGUGGUUUAAUUCGAAGCAACGCGAAGAACCUUACCAAGGCUUGACAUGUAGGAGACCGCCGUGGAAACACGGUUCCCUUCGGGGCUGCUACACAGGUGCUGCAUGGCUGUCGUCAGCUCGUGUCGUGAGAUGUUGGGUUAAGUCCCGCAACGAGCGCAACCCUCGUCGUCGGUUAUCGGUGUCCGAGGAAACUGCCACGAUCAACGUGGAGGAAGGUGGGGAUGACGUCAAGUCAGCACGGCCCUUACGUCUUGGGCGACACACACGCUACAAUGGCCGCGACAACGAGUCGCCAACCCGCGAGGGGGAGCUAAUCUCAGCAAACGCGGUCUCAGUUCAGAUUGUAGGCUGCAACCCGCCUGCAUGAAGUUGGAGUUGCUAGUAACCGUGAGUCAGCACAUCACGGUGAAUACGUUCCCGGGUCUUGCACACACCGCCCGU
rnacentral:rRNA from 1 species